AUUUUUGUUUUUUAAAAGGUUUUAUGCCAGUUUUUCCAAUAUAUGAUCUGUACUACAUCUGCUAAAUUCGUACCGUCACAUACUAAACCUAUUAACCCAGCGUUUUU
rnacentral:sRNA from 2 species